AACGUCACUUUCCUUUCCCCAAGCCCUUUUGGUGUGUCAAGUGGGUCUGCGUCCUCUCAUGCAUCAGUCCAAGUAAACUAAUAGCUUUCUUCAAGAAGUCUCUAUUUCUGCUGCUCCUGAAAAGGAUGCCAAGCUGGGACUAUGAUGCUGACAGAGGAUUUGGGUAAUGCCAAGAGAAGAGGGCCUUCUGAAUAGUGAUGACAUUACCUGCUGAUUGAUGUAUGGGGACGUUGUAAGCAUCUGUUGUAAGACCUCAUGUUUCUGGAGCCCUGGGGCAAUUUCUUGUUCCGGAAGACAUAUUUGGAAGUAGAAAAAGCUUCUAGGCUGGAGAUCAUGGCACCAUCGUGGCACUGAUUUGUGGGAAUGCUGGCAAAGUUAUGGAAGACUUUCCUGACAUUCAUGGAGGAGAUUGACUUUCUGUGUGAGCAGCUGGGUCAUAGGGUAUAGACAGCCACGGAAGAAGCACUUGUCUCUGGGUUUUUCUAGGGGAACCUCAGGCUGGAUGCUUCAACCAACAAUGAUCUCAUACCUGACAGAAAUGAAGACAGUAGAUUCGGAGAUAUCACCUGUGUGCAAGGGCUCCACAUGAGGCUUUGUUUCAGUUACCUGUGGUCAAUCUUGGUCUGGAAGCAGAGGAUCCUCCUUCUGACAUACAGUCAGAACAUCAUAGUCACCUAACACUACAUCACAAUGUCUACGUCAUUCACCUCACUUCACCUCAAUCACGCAGGCCUCUAUCAUCCCAUGUCAUCGCAAGAAGAAGGGCAGGUGCCUGAAGGCGGGACUUGAGUGUUACUCAUUGGUCUUCUGCAGCACAUGGAUCGGGGCCGAGCACAAAAUAGUUGCUCAAAUGUAUUCAUUGCAUCAAAAUUGCUGAAGAGUCGCAUCUUGCAGACAGCGUGAGAGGAGCUGUGGUGGAUCCGUGGCCAAGAGUCUGUUGGGAGCAAUGGACAUAAAAACCACCAACUAUGAUGUCCAGCAUAAAGGUCUUGAAAGGUCAUUUUCAGAGGGGCAGAAUGAAGUGUGCUAUGCUUACCAAAGCCUGAAGGACUGCAUGCUCUGAGGAUAGCAGUUUCAUCAAGGGAAUUCGGGAAGACUUCACGGAGGUGGCAUUUGAAUUGGGUUUUGAAGGCUUUGUCCAUAUACGUCAAGUCCAAUGAUUUUCAAAAUGUUCACGUGCAAGGCAUCAUUCAGUUGUUUAGGAAAAUCUUACCAAGAGCUUAGUGUAUGUCACAGGGCAGAAGUAAUGAUACUUACCUUCUGGAUAAAAGGAUGCUUCUCUGCAUCGCAGGAAUUCAGAGACACCUCCUCCCCACUUGGGCUUCCCAAGGGACUCUGUUACGCCUUAUUCCUGCAUCCCAGGAUGGGCUGUGACUCAAAAGAAUUCAAAAGACUUUUGAUGGUCCGGGUCUAAGGACACUUUAGGUUCACCGGGUGAUUGACAGAGGCAAUUUGCCAUCAGAUUCCAGUCCCAUCCAGGAGUAGCUCACGUGCCAGCAGUGUCCAGUUGGGAGAAGAUGCCACAACUGGACAGGGGGUCUGACAGAGGAAGCACCAAGUCAUUGUGACUGUGGGCCUUUCCGGGGUCCUCCCCAGGCCAGUGAUGCCCUAGUUCUUCAGGGAAAUGUUUCUGUCCUGAGAAAAUGUCUGCCAACGUUACAAGGGGCCCUAUGGCUGCAACUCCACUGCUCCCGUGAAUGCUCCUACCUCCGGAUGCUGGUGAUGGCCAGAUCUGGUCUUCUUCCUUUCAACCCUGAACUUCUAGUCAUCAGCCAGACACUCCACACCUCAGAACAACCCAUUGGAUCCUGAACUCAUUCAUGGCUCACCUACUUCUCAGCCUCAUUUCUGUUUUGUGGGUUUUUUUUUUUUUUUUUUUUUUAGCCGACUUUGCCCAACCCUGAAGAUCCAAGCUAAGUAACCUCAGGACCUGUGAGGCAGUAAAAAAGCCUGAGCCCCCAAGUUGGAGGCCUGACCUGAGGCAACUCACUCAAGCUGUCUGAGCUUCACUUAGCUUCCUCAGAUUUAAAAUGGGGGACAAUUAUACUAUGUACCUCCCCAGAAUCCUCCCAACAUGACUCUUGCUUGCCUUUCCUCAUCAGCCAUCGUCACUUUCCUUUGAGUGGCCUUUGCUCCAGACACGCCAGCCUCCCUGCCCUUCCCAAAUCACAGCAAUUAUGUUCGUUCAUGCCUCCAUGCAUCUGCGCGCACUGGUGUUUUCUGCCUGAAAUGGUUUUGCUUUCCAUGCCCACCUGGCGAGCUCCUACCAUUCUUUACAUCUCGGUUCAAGAGUUCUGUUCCUUAAGCUUUUCUUGGGUUUUCCAGGCAAAGUUAGGGAUUCUCUUCUUUACUGUCUCACGAUACUGCCCUACCUACAGUCUAUUUUUAAUAUCCUUACGCUUUCCUUUUAUAUUUUCUAUGGUUUCCUCCAUCUGAUUUUCUAAUUUACCACUUCAUUUUUCUUCAAAUUUAUCUUGCCAUUUAUCUCAUUAUUUACUUCAGUUAUAUUUUUUAUACUUGCAUUUCCACUUGGUAUC